rnacentral:ncRNA from 2 species
UAAGCAUAAAAAGCGCCAGAACUCAGGUGAUUUUUUAAAAUAAAAUACAUAUAAUUAUUUUAAAUGUAUAAAUUACUUUGAGUUGACGAGGAUGGGGAGUAUCGAAUCUUCGGCGGGUGCCCCACGGUAUCGCACUACCGUUAACAGCUGGUAAAACCAAAAAGUGAUUUUUGGUACAAUAUCAGCCUGGUGUUAAAA